AUGAACCUUUGAGGGUUGAGCUGGCGUUUAUUCGCAUGUGCUUGCCCUCUCAUCCUUUAUACACCUGUGCACUUUUGAAGGGAGACAAUUAGUAGACAUUCACUUGUCGAAGGUAUCUCCCUUUACCACUACAUACUCUAAUGAUUACUUUGAAUGUUUAAACGCUUAACAGCAUUUAAUUA
rnacentral:misc_RNA from 1 species